UAAAAUAAUUAAGGGCACACAAAGGAUGCCUAGGUAGUAAGAGCCGAUGAAGGACGUGGUAAGCUGCGAUAAGCCUAGAUAAGUUGCAAUCGAACGUAAGAGUCUAGGAUUUCCGAAUGGAGCAAUCUAUUAAGAUGGAGUCUUAAUACGAAAGAGGGAACCGCGUGAACUGAAACAUCUAAGUAACGCGAGGAAAAGAAAGUAAAAACGAUACCCAAAGUAGCGGCGAGCGAAAUGGGUCAAGCCUAAACCUUAAAUAUGUCAAGGAUACAGCCGUUGUAUUUAGGGGGUUGAGGGACAGAGUAGUGAAGAACUGUAAGAUAUUCAAUAUAGUGUAUUGAUGAAUUGGAAUUGUCUGGAAAGGCGAACCGUAGAAGGUGAAAGUCCUGUACAAGUAAAUCCUUACACAUAUAACUCUGCUCCCAAGUAACAUGGAACACGAGGAAUUCUGUGUGAAUCUGUGAGGACCAUAUCUCAUAAGGCUAAAUACUCUUACUAACCGAUAGCGCAUAGUACCGUGAGGGAAAGGUGAAAAGAACCCCUGGAGGGGAGUGAAAUAGAACCUGAAAUUGUGUGCUUACAAGCGGUCAGAGCCAGUGAUGGUGAUGGCGUGCCUUUUGGAGAAUGAUCCUGCGAGUUACGUUAAACGGCGAGGUUAAGUAUAACGGAGCCGAAGGGAAACCAAGUCUUAAUAGGGCGAUUUAGUCGUUUGGCGUAGACGCGAAACCUGGUGAUCUAAACCUGUCCAGGAUGAAGCUGUGGUAAGACACAGUGGAGGUCCUAACCCACCGCCGUUGAAAAGUUGGGGGAUGAGGUAGGUUUAGGGGUGAAAAGCCAAUCGAACCAGGAGAUAGCUCGUUCUCUCCGAAAUGCAUCUAGGUGCAGCCUUGAGUGUUCAAUUAUGGGGGUAGAGCACUGAAUGAUCUAGGGGGCGUAUUGCUUACUGAAAUCAAUCAAACUCCGAAUACCAUAAUUUAGAGCUCAGGAGUGAGACUAUGGGAGUUAACUUCCAUUGUCGAAAGGGAAACAACCCAGACCACCAGCUAAGGUCCCUAAUUAUAACUAAGUGGGAAAGGAGGUGGAGAUUCACAAACAACUAGGAGGUUGGCUUAGAAGCAGCCAUACCUUUAAAGAGUGCGUAAUAGCUCACUAGUCGAGAGUCUCUGCGCCGACAAUGUAACGGGGCUAAGUUAUAAACCGAAGCUGUGGAAUCCGUAAGGAUUGGUAGGAGAGCGUUCUGUAGGCCGUUGAAGGAGAAGGGUAACCAACUCUGGAGGUAUCAGAAGUGAGAAUGCAGGAAUAAGUAGCGAGAAAGGGGGCGAGAAUCCCCCUCGCCGGAAGACCAAGGUUUUCAGGGUAAAGCUUGUCUUCCCUGAGUAAGCCGGGACCUAAGCCCAGGCUAUAAUGCGUAGGCGAAUGGAAAACAGAUUAAUAUUUCUGUGCCAGUCAUAUAUUGUGAUGGAGGGACGCAGAAGGGUAUGCACGCGGACGAACGGAAGUGUCCGUAGAAGUAUGUAGGAUGACUUGAUAGGAAAAUCCAUUGAGUUAUAUCUGAGGUAUGAUAUACAGUCGUAAGAUGAAUGCGCAAAUCCCACGCUGCCAAGAAAAGCUUCUAACGUUAAUAUUUGACUGCCCGUACUGCAAACCGACACAGGUGGUCAGGAUGAGAAAUCUAAGGCGGACAGGCUAACUCUCGUUAAGGAACUCUGCAAAAUAACCUCGUAACUUCGGGAGAAGAGGAGCCCUUGAGGGUCAGUAUCCACGCGAUACAAAGCACUCGAGGGUCGCAGUGAAGAGGCUCAAGCAACUGUUUAACAAAAACACAGGUCUAUGCUAAGCUGGAAGGCGAUGUAUAUGGGCUGACACCUGCCCAGUGCUGGAAGGUUAAGAGGAGGAGUGAGAGCUCCGAAUUGAAGCCCCAGUGAACGGCGGCCGUAACUAUAACGGUCCUAAGGUAGCGAAAUUCCUUGUCGGGUAAGUUCCGACCUGCACGAAUGGUG
rnacentral:rRNA from 1 species